CGGACGGGUGAGUAAUGUCUGGGAAACUGCCCGAUGGAGGGGGAUAACUACUGGAAACGGUAGCUAAUACCGCAUAACGUCGCAAGUCCAAAGAGGGGGACCUUAGGGCCUCUUGCCAUCGGAUGUGCCCAGAUGGGAUUAGCUAGUAGGUGGGGUAAUGGCUCACCUAGGCGACGAUCCCUAGCUGGUCUGAGAGGAUGACCAGCCACACUGGAACUGAGACACGGUCCAG
rnacentral:rRNA from 1 species